GGAGGAGCAGGAGCAGGGCCAGCAGCAGCUGGAUGAGGAGGAGGAGGAGGAGGAGCAGGGGGGCGAGCAGGAGCAGCAGCAGCAGCAUCAGGAGAAGCAGGGUGCGCCGAAAGCAGGACAAUCCAUCCUCCAGUGUCAGAAAGCUUGCUGCAGGCGUAAAAUCCUGACACUGGAGAGGAUGAUUGUCCUGCUGAAGGCCAAAAUUCACCUUAAACAGAUAUCAAACUAAGUUACACUUCGAUCAAUUUAAACUGAAGGUGAAGCAGAUGAUGCCCAAUAGGCUUAUGCGACGUGGUGAGCGCAUGUGCCAGAGGCGUCGUCAGAGUUCAGAGAAAAUGAGACAGCUAGUGUGCCCUUUGUACCAUGUUACGUACAGUAACUUGCCUAAACACCUGGCCGGGGUUCACAUAUCGGGCUUGCA